rnacentral:lncRNA from 1 species
GCGGGCAGCAGGCAGGACACGUGGAAACGCAACCGCCAGGAGGAAAGGCGGGACACAGCGGGAAGGGAGGUUUGCCUCCCCUCUCUUCCUGUGGUGACCCCCACCUCACUUACAAAAAUCACCACCGACGUUUGGGAACCGUGCACGCCGACUGAAAGCAAAGCUCAGCUGACCUGCGAGGAGUCCCCGGGGAGCUGCCGCGGUGGUCGCCGUUGAGUCCGUCCGUGCCGCUGGGGCCGAGGCAGCUGGAGACACAGGUUUAUUUCAACACUGGGAAGGCUCCAUUCCUACUUAAACCCAGCAGGGAACAGGGAGCGGUGUGCAGAGGAGGUGGCCUGCCCGGGAAGCCGGCCUUGGUGCUGGGACUGCAGGGAGAGGGCUGUGAGGAAGAGCACAGGCUUCAUGCACAUUGCACAGAGGAGGAGAUUCAUGGGGACAGCAGGCACUGGUUAGGCACAGCGGGAAGGUUAUCGAAGACAAAACACAUUUCUACCCAAGUUUAAAUGACCUGCUAUGCCCACAGAGCUUGAUCCAGAAGUGCACAGUAGAGACGGGGUUUCACCAUGUUAGCCAGGAUGGUCUCGAUCUCCUGACCUCGUGAUCUGCCCGCCUCAGCCUCCCAAAGUGCUGGGAUUACAGGAGUGAGCCACCGCUCCCGGCCCAGAACUUUUAAUAAAUAUAAAUACACAGGUAAUUUUAACACAUAUUCCUGAUGAAAUCAUUAUUAUCUGCAAUGCUUUCAUUCUGCUUUUUCUCUUAACAAUGGCAUAAACAUUUUUCAAGGUCAAUAAAUGUUUUUCAAAAUCGCAUUUGUAUUAGUGGCUGUAUAGUUUUCUAUCAAAUGUGGAAUAAACUCAAUUUAUUUCUCCCUUUUGUUCUUGAACAUUUAAGAUCAUUGGUUCAUAGUUACUAAUCAUGUUACAACAAAUAUUCAUGUAUUCCAAAUUUUGCUCAUUCCUGAUUAUUUCCUUAGAUUUCCAGGUAUGGAAUAAUUAGGUUGAAGUGUUUGAAAUCUUUUUUUGUUGGUUUGUUUGUUUUUGAGAUGUAGCUUCCCUCUGUUGCCCCGGCUGGAGUGCACUGGCAUGAUCUCAGCUCACUCACUGCAACCUCUGCUGCCUGGUUCAAGCGAUUCUCCUGCCUCAGCCUCCUGAAUAGCUGGGGUUACAGGUGCGCACCACCACGCCCGGCUAAUUUUUGUAUUUUUAGUAGAGACAGGGUUUCAUCAUGUUGGCCAGGUGGGUCUCAAACUCCUGACCUCAGGUGGUCCUUCUGCCUUGGCCUCCCAAAGUGCUGGGAUUACAGGCGUGAGCCACUGCGCCCGGCCGAAGUGUUUGAAAUCUUUAAGCAUCCUGGUAAAUAUUGAGUUUUGUCAAUAUUUAGAAAAGUUGCAUGAUUGACAUCGCUUCCACCCAUGUUUCAGAGCAUCUGAUUUGUCAGACCCUCACCAAAAAUGGGCUUUUAUCAAAAUGUAAUAAAAAAUAAAUACAACUUUUCCAAUGACAAAACUGGUUUCUCAUUUUUUUGAUACAUGUUUCUUGAAUUCUAGAGAGAUUGAAUAUUAUGAAUAUGUUUUCUGUUAUAUCUUUUAUAUUAAUAUAAAUGUUAUAUAUUUACAUAUUUU